UUAAUUAACUAUAUUUCCAUUUGAUGGAUGCACAAAUGGUGCAAGACGAUGAAAUUGACAAUGAAAUUGAAGCGUGAUCAUCAAACAGAACAAGUGAAUGAUUUAGAAAUUUAACAAUUAUUUUAGCUAAUACAUGUACAAAAACACAUAAACUAUAUAGCAUCCUAGCUAAAUUAACUCAGUACAGAAAAAUUAAAAAAGAAAAAAAAAUCACAAAUAUGUGAAAAUCUGCAGUCUCAAAAACCUAGAAAUCAAACAUGCAUGGUGAUUUAAUUUAAGAUGAAGAAGACGAUCAGUUGAUUUGGCCACCUCUUCCAGAGCUGCCCGGUGGCCGCGGUGGCCUUUUUAUAACUCCUAAUGCCCUCGUCGUCAUUGUUGAUUCCAUUGCAUACUCUUCCUCCUAUAUAUAUAUGCAUUAAAUUAACCAAAAUUUAUUUUUAGUGUUUGGAAUGAGAGAAAAUAAAAAAGAAAGUGACAGAAAAAUAAAAAGAAUAGUAAUGAUAUUACAGUUGCUUUCAUUUGUGUUUCUGCCCCAGAAGCCGGAGUUGUAUCAGCGUCUGCUUGUUGAGUAUCUUUGCCUAAGCACUUGUACAAAGCUUUGAUAAGCUGUUCAACUAAGUAACAUGGGCUGUAUAAGUAAUAUGUUUCUUCUCCUCUUUUCUCUUCUUCUGCUGACCUUUCCAUUUGCUUCUUGCUUCUAUCUUCUAGCUUCUGCUUCUUCUUCUGCUUUCUUCUGCUUCUUGUGUUAUUGUUUGCUUUUUGGUUUGGUGGGUGGUGUUUAUUUCACUUCACCUGCCACUUUGUAUCUCUAGCGCUGUGAGAGAGACACCUGCCUCUUUGUAUUUAUUGACGACCUUCUAUUGAGAUCUCUAAAUUUUCUAUUGAGGGUUUUUAAUCUUAUUUUAUAUUUGUUUCUUCAAUAGUGAUGAUCUCGUACCUUUGUCAAACAUUAACGAUACAUU
rnacentral:lncRNA from 1 species